rnacentral:misc_RNA from 1 species
UGUUUCUUAGAAAUCAACUCCCUUUUGGGGUUAAAACGGGGGAUGUUACGUUGACCCACUCAUCAUGAAAUCUCCGAAACUAUAACAGCUACAAAUUUGACAUUUUGCAAGUAGGUUCCAUAUAAAGCGUAGUCAUAUGCUAAGAACUGAUUUAACGUAACUCGACCCUUAAAGGGGUAAAACGGGGCUUGGAAGUUUAUAUAAAAGUCCUAUGUUUUUGAAGUAAGA